UGCAAUCCAUUUGUACUUCGAAGUGAGAGGUGGGGAGAGAGAAACAAGUUGUGGGUUUCACUGCCUCUAACUUUUUUCUGCUCCUUCAGCCGCACGUAUUGCAUCUGGCAUCUGGAUGUCAUCACCAAAAACAUAUGAAUCAAGGUAUUCCUUGGCAAUCCUAUCUGCCACGAUAUUAAUCUCUCUUGGGAUGUGCCGGAACUUUAACCGCCAAUUCCUCUCUUGGAUGUUCUAAUCCUUGUUAAGACUGGAGCAGCAGUUUUUUCUCUUUUCUCAAAAUCAUCAAGAGUAUCACAGCCUCCACAGCCUGGGCGGCGAAGAAAAUCACCCGAGGGAGGCCGACAGUUGGGCCCAGACCCAGUAGGCUCACCCGGGAGGCUCCGCAUUACUCCCUGCCCACUUUUUCUGUGACCCACAUCUACACGCAGGCGCUCCGGUGUCCUAAGAUGCGUCAGACAAAUUUCCACGUGGCAGUCACUCAUUAGAGGGGCCAUCAAAUCCCACGUGCUCGUCAUCGUUUUCCUCACGUGGCCUCUCCCCGGACUGAUUGAGUGGCAGACAAGGGGGUUAACCAAGUAUCCAAGCAUAUAAACAUAUCAUGGAGUUUGAUAGGCGCGCCCAACCUUGGAUCUGUCAUUUCAGGUUCUCUCUUCACUAAUUAGAUCUACAUUUCUACACUGCAAUCAUAUUGUCGCACUCUAUCCAGGUGAAUUUAUAUAUAGUUCCCAGGCUGACCUACAUUCAACUCAUGGAGGUAAAGUCGCGUAUGUUCGUCAGAAAAUUUUGAAUAUCUUUCUCUUCUGUAAAGAUGACUGGUGAAUGAUUUAA